GUCGGAGGAGGCGAGGUUUUCCGGGGUGCCGUAGGCUGUCUCGAAAAACUGGUCGAAAGCCUGUGGCAGGACGCCGUUCCUGCCCACGGUGCUAUAGAAAUUGGACGAGACUGCGGGGGUGGGGUGGUGGUAGACGUUGGCCGAGCUCUUGGCCAGCACGUCGCCAGGCACGCCGGCCGCGCUGGGCGCCUGCAGGCAGUCUCUGUGCACGAGCUCCUCCGCGGAGUAGCAGUGGGCCAGAUUGCCGCGGGGGUGCCAUUUAGUGGCGGGCUCAAUGGCGUACUCUCUGAAGGUCACUUCGCGCACGGGUUGGACCUGGGGCAGGUUGGAGGAGUAGGAGUAUGUCAUUGGGCGCGAAGACGGGGUCUGGGGCAGAAAAGAAGGGAGGCUGGAGAAAUCUGGACCCGAGACGUAGUAAGUACAACUUGGCAAAUACAUGUUAGAGGAGCAGGGACCACGCUCAUCAAAAUCCAUUAUUGGGCUACCUUGGGCUCUCCGCAGUAGCCGAGCUUAACAUGAUUCUCCACUGCAGCUGCCUCUUUGAAGCGGAUCCGUGAAGUAGAAAUUUGGAGACCCACCUCAGGGGAAGCAACAGAUCGUCACUCGGUGUUCUCACCGAAAGCACGUAAUCGCCGGUGUAACUCAUGUUGGCUGGGGGGCCUCCCGGCGCGCGCGGAGAGGCUGGGGUGCGCCCCCAUGCAGCAUGCUUGUGCUCAAUUGCAGGGUCCUCGUUCUCGAGUGUGCAGAGGGCGGUGAGAGCUCAACUCUCGUCCCCACCUCCCACCCGCAGCUCCCCGGACUUGCUCUGGGAAGCGCCUCUGCCUCCGACCCUAGCCGGAACCCCUUCGGGGCCAGAGUUUGAAGCCGUGGAUGUGCCUGCCUGGUGGCUUGUCCGAUUUGCACGGUGACUUGAUUACACUCUCUCAUUCAUGGUCACUUCCGAAGCGCUUUAGUGCCUUCCGUCCCUAAACCGCCAACAGCCAGAACGGCUUCUCCCCGCGUGACUCGGCAGAGACAGAGGCACAGGGGCUGCCCUGCUGCUCACCGGUCCACCCAUCUGCCUGGUCUUCUGGAGCUGAGGACUCGGGAAACCAUGCAAUUGAGGCAAGCCUUGGGCUGCUUUAGAGGCGCUGACAUCCGAGGAGACUUCUCCUGGGAGGUCCAACAGCCGAGCUUAGCCCACCGGGCUCUGGGAAAGACCCGACUGAGGCUAAAGCCGCCCCGGAAGGCCAAGUCCGAGUUCCAUUUCUUGAAGAGGCCGGCGCGCGUAAGGCUGUGACAUUGGCCCUGGCGACUGGCUUCCCAGGAGCUGUUCUUUCUCAGGAGCUCCACAGCGCGGGCCAUCUCCAGAAAACUGUCUUCAGAGUGUAUUUCCUUUUAUCGUCAACCCAGAGCCCCACCGCGGCUAAUGCAAGAGGCCAAAAAAUGUUUGGAGGAAGAAAAACAAAGGCAGGAAGUGGCGGCGGCCUGACGGUGCGUGUGUGUCUGCAGAGAAGGGAGGGAGCCGGCUCAGUCUCUUCUUGUUUUUCCAAACUUCAAGGUCCAGGCAGCCCUCUGCAGGGCCGGGCCCCAUUGCUCCCCGCGCGGCAUUGGAGGUGGCCGCCCGGAGAGGAGAAGGCCAACGCCUGCGCCAGGCUUGUCAGGCGGAAACGGCUAACAAGGAGAUUUGGUCAGCAAAACAGACCCAGCCUUUCCGAGGCUUCGUCUGACUUGGCCCGAAAGG
rnacentral:lncRNA from 1 species